rnacentral:misc_RNA from 1 species
CUGCGAGUUCGCGGGAGAGUAAGUUAUUGCCAGGGUUUUUAUUUUGUAAUUUAAACCUUAAAUUUAUUUUUUAUAUUUUUUUAAUGUUCAUGUUUUUGAAUGUUUUAUUCAAAUAAUGUAAAAAAUAAAAUAGAUAUUGACAUGGAUUGAACAAAAGAUAUAUAUUAUUUUAUGUUGCAUAAACAAAUUGGCAAAAUAGAGAUGGAAGAUAAAAAUAUGGUCAAAG